rnacentral:lncRNA from 1 species
AUGCACCUUGGAGGACCACAGCAGAAUCAUGCGCUCGCUCGGCUUAUUGCUUGCUUUGACGCUUCUGAGCUCCAGCUUGCUGACAUCAGCAAGUGGUGGACGCGAUCGGCGUGGGGGCCACAAUGGAUGGGGUAGCCAUGAUGGGCGUGGGGGCCACAAUGGAUGGGGUAGCCAUGAUGGGCGUGGGGGCCAUGAUGGAUGGGGUGGCCACGAUGGGCGUGGGGGCCACGAUGGACGAGGGGGCCACGAUGGACGAGGGGGCCAUGAUGGAUGGGGUGGCCACGAUGGAUGGGGUGGCCACGAUGGGCGUGGGGGCCACGAUGGACGAGGGGGCCAUGAUGGAUGGGGGGGCCAUGAUGGACGAGGGGGCCAUGAUGGACGAGGGGGCCACGAUGGACGAGGGGGCCACGAUGGACGAGGGGGCCACGAUGGACGAGGGGGCCACGAUGGACGAGGGGGCCACGAUGGACGAGGGGGCCACGAUGGACGAGGGGGCCACGAUGGACGAGGGGGCCACGAUGGACGAGGGGGCCACGAUGGACGAGGGGGCCACGAUGGACGAGGGGGCCACGAUGGACGAGGGGGCCACGAUGGACGAGGGGGCCACGAUGGACGAGGGGGCCACGAUGGACGAGGGGGCCACGAUGGACGGGGGGGGCCACGAUGGACGAGGGGGCCAUGAUGGGCGUGGGGGCCAUGAUGGGCGCGGUGCUCAAGAUGGACGCAGUGGUCAAAGUGGACGCAGUGGUCAAAGUGGACGCAGUGGUCAAAGUGGACGCAGUGGUCAAAGUGGACGCAGUGGUCAAAGUGGACGCAGUGGUCAAGAUGGACUCAGUGCUCAAAGUGGACGCAGUGGUCAAAG